rnacentral:rRNA from 1 species
GAUGAACGCUGGCGGCGUGCCUAAUACAUGCAAGUCGAGCGAACAGACGAGGAGCUUGCUCCUCUGACGUUAGCGGCGGACGGGUGGGUAACACGUGGAUAACCUACCUAUAAGACUGGGAUAACUUCGGGAAACCGGAGCUAAUACCGGAUAAUAUAUUGAACCGCAUGGUUCAAUAGUGAAAGACGGUUUUGCUGUCACUUAUAGAUGGAUCCGCGCCGCAUUAGCUAGUUGGUAAGGUAACGGCUUACCAAGGCAACGAUGCGUAGCCGACCUGAGAGGGUGAUAGGCCACACUGGAACUGAGACACGGUCCAGACUCCUACGGGAGGCAGCAGUAGGGAAUCUUCCGCAAUGGGCGAAAGCCUGACGGAGCAACGCCGCGUGAGUGAUGAAGGUCUUCGGAUCGUAAAACUCUGUUAUUAGGGAAGAACAAAUGUGUAAGUAACUAUGCACGUCUUGACGGUACCUAAUCAGAAAGCCACGGCUAACUACGUG